AUACUUUUGUGUUUUAGAAGCAAAAUUGUUUUUUACAUAAUCAUCUGAUAUGUACCUCUUUCAAACUAUGUUAUAACAUUAGCAUAUUACCCAUCUGAAA